AUUGAACGCUGGCGGCAUGCUUUACACAUGCAAGUCGAACGGUAACAGGUUAAGCUGACGAGUGGCGAACGGGUGAGUAAUGCAUCGGAACGUGCCCGAUCGUGGGGGAUAACACUUCGAAAGAAGUGCUAAUACCGCAUACGAUCUGAGGAUGAAAGCGGGGGACCGUAAGGCCUCGCGCGAUCGGAGCGGGCGAUGUCAGAUUAGGUAGUUGGUGGGGUAAAGGCUGACCAAGCCGACGAUCUGUAGCUGGUCGGAGAGGACGACCAGCCACACUGGGACUGAGACACGGCCCAGACUCCUACGGGAGGCAGCAGUGGGGAAUUUUGGACAAUGGGCGCAAGCCUGAUCCAGCAAUGCCGCGUGCAGGAAGAAGGCCUUCGGGUUGUAAACUGCUUUUGUACGGAGCGAAAAGGCUCCCUCUAAUACAGGGGGCUCAUGACGGUACCGUAAGAAUAAGCACCGGCUAACUACGUGCCAGCAGCCGCCGUAA
rnacentral:rRNA from 1 species